rnacentral:tRNA from 1 species
CGGGGCGUAGCGCAGUCCGGCUAGCGCACCUGCUUUGGGAGCAGGGGGUCGGAGGUUCAAAUCCUCUCGCCCCGA